rnacentral:rRNA from 1 species
GACGGAGGGUGCAAGCGUUGUUCGGAAUUACUGGGCGUAAAGCGUGUGUAGGCGGCCAUUCAAGUCGGAUGUGAAAGCCCCGGGCUCAACCCGGGAAGUGCACCCGAAACUGGAUGGCUUGAGUAUCGGAGAGGUUGGUGGAAUUCUCGGUGUAGAGGUGAAAUUCGUAGAUAUCGAGAGGAACACCGGUGGCGAAGGCGGCCAACUGGACGAAUACUGACGCUGAGACACGAAAGCGUGGGGAGCAAACAGG